rnacentral:rRNA from 1 species
UCAGGCCUAACACAUGCAAGUCGAGCGGUAACAGAUCUAGCUUGCUAGAUGCUGACGAGCGGCGGACGGGUGAGUAACGCGUAGGAAUCUACCCAGUAGCGGGGGAUAAGCCAGAGAAAUUUGGUCUAAUACCGCAUACGCCCUUCGGGGGAAAGCAGGGGAUCUUCGGACCUUGCACUAUUGGAUGAGCCUGCGUGAGAUUAGCUUGUUGGUGAGGUAAAGGCUCACCAAGGCGACGAUCUCUAGCUGGUCUGAGAGGAUGAUCAGCCACACUGGAACUGAGACACGGUCCAGACUCCUACGUGAGGCAGCAGUGGGGAAUAUUGCACAAUGGGCGCAAGCCUGAUGCAGCCAUGCCGCGUGUGUGAAGAAGGCCCUAGGGUUGUAAAGCACUUUCAGCAGUGAGGAAAGGUGUGUGGUUAAUACCCGCAUACUGUGACGUUAACUGCAGAAGAAGCACCG